GACGAACGCUGGCGGUGCGCCUAAUGCAUGCAAGUCGAACGGGCGGAGGGGCUUCGGCCCCCGAGCUAGUGGCAGACGGCUGAGUAACACGUAAGUGAUCUACCCCGGAGAGGGGGAUAACCCGGAGAAGUCCGGCCUAAUACCCCGUACGCUCCUUAGACUGCGGUCUAGGGAGGAAAAGUUCCGGCGCUCUGGGAGGAGCUUGCGGCUUAUCAUGGUAGUUGGUGGGGUAAAAGCCUACCAAGCCGAAGACGGGUAACCGGUGUGAGAGCACGAUCGGUCAGAGGGGGACUGAGACACGGCCCCCACUCCUACGGGAGGCAGCAGCAGGGAAUCUUGCGCAAUGGGCGAAAGCCUGACGCAGCGACACCGC
rnacentral:rRNA from 1 species